UAUAAAUUUGAUUGGAAUUUUUUUUUUCCAAAUUUCAGGUUGAUCUUUUGGGUGAUGAAGUUGAUGCUCUUUCAAGCCUUCUGGAAAAAAUAUACAUUGGACUUGAUCAUUAUUCACCAAUUUUGCACCAUCUUAUCCUGGAAUUAUCGAGAUCCUGAAGCUGGUAAAAAGAGAACUGAGUGGAGAAUCUACUGAAUCAGUUUGAUUUGUUCUAUCACUAGAUGCAAGGCCGCAUUUUUCAUUUUGAUCCUUGCUGCUGCUGGUGUAGAUACUGCAGGAUUUU